UCCUGUUCGCCAGUCGUCAUUGUCUUUGCGUGUACUAUGACACUGUUGCGAAUUGGG
rnacentral:pre_miRNA from 1 species